ensembl:lncRNA
AUCUGGAGAUCACCCCCUCUGGGAGCUUUUCUGUGAGCCCAGGAUAUGGCCCAGGAUCACAGAAUUGUAGGGGUUGGAAGGGACCUCUGGAGAUCAAGUCCAACCCAACUACUAAAGCAGGUUUCCUACAAUAAUUUGCACAGGAGAGUGUUCAGAAAGGUCUUUAAUCUCUCUGGAGGAGGAUAUUCCUCAACCUCUCUGGGCAGACUAUUCCAGUUCUCCUUCAUCCUCACAACUGAAGAGUCCCAGGUCUCACAUCCUUCCUUCAUAUGUGAGAUGCUCCAAACCCUAAUCACAUUCAUGGCCCUCUGCAGGAUUCUCUCUAGAAGAUCUGUGUCUUUUUUUCAAACUGAGGAGCUCAGAACUGGACCCAGUGUUCCACAGAUCUGGCCUUUCCAGGGCAGAGUAGAGGGGGAGGACCACCUUCCUCACACUUCAGGACAUUCUCUUUUUUUUUAUGAACCCCGGGAUACCAUUGGCUCUCUUGGCUCCACAGUGCUGUUCUUGAGUUCUUCUCCCAGUCUGUAUACAUAUAUGAAUUACCUUGACCCAAGGGCAAAACUUGCAGUUUGCCAUGCUGAACCUCAUUAAAUUAUCAUGGGUCUACUAUUCAACAGAAUACAUUGUGUCAAGUUCUGUGGAACUUAAGUAAUAACUGUGUUAUAAAGAUUUAAUUCAUGUUUGUUGUAACAUUAGAGCUGUACCUGAGUUUCUGUGUAUAAAUCAAGGUGGAUCAAAGGCAGCUACAGUUAUGUAGAGUGUUUCAUCAUAAAUGAAAUAAUGGAUGGACUUCCGACAAUGACCAGCUUCAGACAACAUGUCUACCACCUUUAUGACAUAGCAUUUGGCUAAUGUUUCAGGAGCUCUCCAGGUGGGAAUUUCAGACAGCCCUGUGAACUUCCUCAGGCAGUUUCUAUGCUUAAAGUGAUGACACCAUUUCUAUUCUUCUUUAUGUUAACUAUCAUCUUGAAUGGAGAACCCAGUCAUCCCAAGUCAGUUUUCAAGACAGAAUUAAUCAAACUGUAUGUGGAUAAUUUUUAGUAGACAGUAGAAAUUGAUUCUGCACACACGAGUCAUUAUGCAGGACAGCUCUGUGUUCACAGAUAGACAGGAGGUGUUUAGUACACCAUUUAAAAUAAUAGAAAUUGAUCACCAUACUAGAGUGCAGCCAUGUAGGACCAUAAGCCAUCUGGAUUAGAAGGAUUUGGCAAAAGUUCAGCAUCUAUCAGCAUCUAUCAUCUCCAUCAUGCAACAGAGACUCUGGUAACUAUCCAGACAACAACUGAUUGUCCUGGUCAAGGUGUUUGAUUCCCAGUAUGAGCAUUACCCUGUGUAAAACACCCCAAUAAACAGGUUUGGUUUUUAACAAACGCUCUUUCCAGGAGUCUUUUUGACACAGCAUUGACGAUAUAGCAUGUAUUAUGUUUCCUUAUAAAUAUAUUUGUUGUAUGUAUAUAUUUAAUAUACAAUAUUUAAUAUUUUAUAUAUAAACAUAUAAUUAUGUUUAUAAUUAUUGGCAUUGAAUUCUUUGCAUAUAAGGAAAAUAUCAAAAUUUUUCUGUGAUAUAAAAGGCUUUUUUUAAUAUUGAAAUAAAAGAACAAAAAA